rnacentral:rRNA from 1 species
GUGAGGAAUCUUCCACAAUGGGCGAAAGCCUGAUGGAGCAACGCCGCGUGAAGGAUGAAGGUCUUCGGAUUGUAAACUUCUUUUAUGAGUGAAGAAUAUGACGGUAACUCAUGAAUAAGCACCGGCUAACUACGUGCCAGCAGCCGCGGUCAUACGUAGGGUGCAAGCAUUAUCCGGAGUGACUGGGCGUAAAGAGUUGCGUAGGCGGUUAUGUAAGCGAAUAGGGAAACCUGGUGGCUCAACCACACAGACUAUUAUUCGAACUGCAUAACUCGAGAAUGGUAGAGGUAACUGGAAUUUCUUGUGUAGGAGUGAAAUCCGUAGAUAUAAGAAGGAACACCAAUGGCGUAGGCAGGUUACUGGGCCAUUUCUGACGCUAAGGCACGAAAGCGUGGGGAGCAAACCGGAUUAGAUACCCGAGUAGUCC